UACAAGAUAGCUCAGUCAGUAGAGAAUGAAACUCUUAGUCUCAGGGUUGUGGGUUUGAGUCCCACAGUGGGCAAAA